rnacentral:rRNA from 1 species
GUAUUCGAAUUUUAGCCCUGGCUGAGCGGUCCACCAUUGGCUGGUACUGUUCUGGCUGGGGUUCACCUUCUGGUGAGCCGGUGUGCUCUUAACUGGGUGUGCCGGGGAACCAGGACUUUUACUUUGAAAAAAUUAGAGUGUUUAAAGCAGGCCUAUGCUUGAAUACAUUAGCAUGGAAUAAUAGAAUAGGACCUCGGUUCUAUUUUGUUGGUUUCUAGGACCGAAGUAAUGAUUAAUAGGGAUAGUUGGGGGCAUUAGUAUUUAGUAGCUAGAGGUGAAAUUCUUGGAUUUAUGAAAGACUAACUUCUGCGAAAGCAUUUGCCAAGGAUGUUUUCAUUAAUCAAGAACGAAAGUUAGGGGAUCGAAGACGAUCAGAUACCGUCGUAGUCUUAACCAUAAACUAUGCCGACUAGGGAUCAGACGAUGUUAAUUUACUGACUCGUUUGGCACCUUAUGAGAAAUCAAAGUUUUUGGGUUCCGGGGGGAGUAUGGUCGCAAGGCUGAAACUUAAAGGAAUUGACGGAAGGGCACCACCAGGAGUGGAGCCUGCGGCUUAAUUUGACUCAACACGGGGAAACUCACCAGGUCCAGACAUAGUAAGGAUUGACAGAUUGAGAGCUCUUUCUUGAUUCUAUGGGUGGUGGUGCAUGGCCGUUCUUAGUUGGUGGAGUGAUUUGUCUGCUUAAUUGCGUUAACGAACGAGACCUUAACCUGCUAAAUAGCUAUGCCAACUUUUGUUGGUAGCCAGCUUCUUAGAGGGACUGUCGGCGAUUAGCCGACGGAAGUUUGAGGCAAUAACAGGUCUGUAAUGCCCUUAGAUGUCCUGGGCCGCACGCGCGCUACACUGAUGAAGUCAACGAGUCUAUAACCUUGGCCGGAAGGU